GGUGGGGCAUUGUGAUGUCACAUGGGGGGGCGGCAAACUUUACUUUUGCCUAGGGCGGCAAAAAUCCUUGCACUGGCCCUGUAGACACUGCAUCUCUGUGGGCGGAUUCGGGGGGGGCAGCACUUUGGGCGGACUCUGGUGCAGGCACCGGGGGGCCCAGACCUUGAGCUGUGUCAGGGGCCCCAACAUUUCUGAUGGCAGCCCUGUAGGUGGGCGGUAGAUUCCUGCAACAAUGAUUGAUUUACUGCAUGGGAUCUCAAUUGUGCCAGAAAGGAAAUCAAAGGUGGCAGGAGAACUAAG